rnacentral:lncRNA from 1 species
GUCACAGAAUAGUAGCAUCCUUCCAGAGUGUGCAUCAUUCCACGUCAUCCUCACAGCUGGAAGAUGCACAAUAGUCUCCUAAUGGAGACAUCUCUGGGCAUGCAGACCCUGGCCUGACAGUGUUCUCACGAAGGGGACAUUCUGAACUGAUACCUGGGGGCUCUCGGGAGAGAAAAGACUCAUUUCUCAGGAUUGCUACCAUCUGCAGAUUGAAAAAGGAAAACAGAAAUUCUCCCACGCCCAAGUAAGCACCGAACCCGUGAUGGAGUCAGGACACGCGACCCCACAAUGGGACACCUUGGCGUCCGGAGAAUCAGAAACUGAUGGAGUUUGAGAAAAUGGCAAAAGCAGAGAGGUCACCCUGACAUUCUUCCUGCCCUUCUUCCCUGAGAAUUCAUCUUCAUUACUACCUGUGGGAUAAGAUAUUCGUUUUCUUACCAUCCUCAUCGUCUCUGUCGGAAGAGUCAGGGAGAGCAGACUGGGAGACGUUGAGGGAUUAGCUUGGCUUCACCUGGAUUUGCAGGUAAACUGUCUGGCUGGGUACCAGGAACUCUGUCUGCCUGGGAGCUGGUCCCCUUGCCUGCAGUCUUCCAAGGCAGUGUCGGAAAUCCAGUUCCCCGCUUAGCAUCAAAGUCUUCCCAAAC